rnacentral:rRNA from 1 species
UACGUAGGUCGCAAGCGUUGGCAGGAAUUAUUGGGCGUAAAGCGCCCGCAGGUGGUUCCUUAAGUCUGAUGUGAAAGCCCACGGCUCAACCGUGUAGGGUCAUUGGAAACUGGGGAACUUGAGUGCAGAAGAGGAAAGUGGAAUUCCAAGUGUAGCGGUGAAAUGCGUAGAGAUUUGGAGGAACACCAGUGGCGAAGGGGACUUUCGGGACUGUAAAUGACAAGGAGGCGCGAAAGCGUGGGAAGCAAACAGG